ensembl:snRNA U6 U6 spliceosomal RNA
CUUUCUUCAGCAGAGGUAUAUGAAAAUUGGGACAAUGCGGAGAAGAUUAGCAUAGCACCUGUGCAAGAACGAUGAACAAGAUCAUAAAUUUUGAUAUUUAGAU